rnacentral:rRNA from 1 species
GAUGAACGCUGGCGGCGUGCCUAACACAUGCAAGUCGAACGGUGAAGCAGAGCUUGCUCUGUGGAUCAGUGGCGAACGGGUGAGUAACACGUGAGCAACCUGCCCCUGACUCUGGGAUAAGCGCUGGAAACGGCGUCUAAUACUGGAUAUGAGCUGCGACCGCAUGGUCAGCAGUUGGAAAGAUUUUUCGGUCUGGGAUGGGCUCACGGCCUAUCAGCUUGUUGGUGAGGUAAUGGCUCACCAAGGCGUCGACGGGUAGCCGGCCUGAGAGGGUGACCGGCCACACUGGGACUGAGACACGGCCCAGACUCCUACGGGAGGCAGCAGUGGGGAAUAUUGCACAAUGGGCGAAAGCCUGAUGCAGCAACGCCGCGUGAGGGAUGACGGCCUUCGGGUUGUAAACCUCUUUUAGCAGGGAGGAAGCGAAAGCGACGGUACCUGCAGAAAAAGCGCCGGCUAACUACGU